rnacentral:lncRNA from 1 species
AGGACGUAUGAGAGCCGUUCCCACUGGAUGACGGCAUGCUCUCUGACGAGAGUGGUAUCGUACUAUCUGUAAGGGUCAUCCGUGGCUAAGUAAUCUCGUGAUUAUAGACUAUCUGUUAGGACCCAAUAUGGUUGGUACGACCGUGAUCAUAGAUCGUAUUAUAGUUUGGCCAGCCGGAAGUAGGACUGAGCAAAUUGCCGUAUCUGUAUAUGAUUUGGUCAUUCAACUUAGAGAGUUAGCAAUUUAUAUUUGUAUAUGUCUUCAGAGACGGAAGUUUGUAAUGAUUUCGAGAAGCAUGAUAAGAAAAGUAUGAGCAUUUCAUGAUUUAUUUGAUUUUCUCUAUUAGUUGGCAUGAUAUAUGUAUAUUUGAUUUUCUGUACUAACGUAAUAUUUUGAUAUCCAAAUAAAUAUUUUUUUUUAAUGAUGAGUUAAGUAAACGAGAAAGCUAAACGGUAAGAAAAAUAAUAAACUUUUGAAAUUUUACGAUAUUUAUUAAAUACUAUUUUUCUUACUGAACAUAUGCAACUCACUCUUUCCAUUCCUCUCCCAGAUGAGGAAGAAAAUGAGGAAAAACAGACAGACCUAUCUUUGGAAGUCUAUGAGGAUCCUGUGGAUCCACAAGUUUGAGUGCAUGUCUGUUCCCGCACUUUGAUGAAUUCCAGUAGCAUAGUGAGAGAAGUAUCCCUUAUGUUUUGUAUUUUGUACCCACUUAUGCUCUCAGUAAUGUAUUUGGAACAAUAUAUAUGUAUCUGUAAGAGAUUUGUUAAGGUUUUGAUUCCGCUGCAUAAAUAUUAUCAUGCACUUGUUAUUUUGAAUCUGUAUUUAACACCCAUUUACCUUAAUUGGCACCGAAGAUGUCACAUAUGGAUAUCAUUAUCUCCCUCUUUACAUGCUAGGAACAAAAUUGUUUCUUCCUCAUCUUGUUUAUCAUUGACAAAUUUGACUUGCUUCUCCUUCUCGUUUGAAGCGUUACAACAUUGCCAAGUAUAAUAUCCAUAUCUGUGACAGUUAUAACAUUCAACAUUAGAUUUGUUAGAAUUUUUAUAGUUAUCUCUCCCUCUUCCACGGCCUCUAUUUGACUGUUGAAUUUUGUCUUCAUUUUUGGCAUCAUCUUGAAUGUCAUUUCGUUUUGAUACUUGACCAUGAGCAUGACCAUGUCCUCUACCUCUUCCUCGUCUCUUUAGUUUCCACCAUAAUUCAAAGAGACAUUUGAUUUAAGAACUUGUUCUAAAUAUUUUUCUUGUCUUCUCUUUAAUUUUUCUCUAUUAGCUUGUAGAGAUCAUUCUAAUUGCUCAAAAGUCAAAGUGUCUAGACUGUUUGACUCUUCAAUGACACAAACUACAUAGUCGAAUUUUGGUGGUAAGGAUUGAUGAAUUUUUUGCACCACAGGAAGAUCUUCUAUCAUCUCACCAUAUCUCCUCAUUUGGCUUACUAUAAACUUUAGCUUUUAGCAAAAAUCUGAAAUCGAUUCAGCAUCUUUUAUU